rnacentral:rRNA from 1 species
CAGCAGCCACGGUAAUACGAAGGGUGCAAGCGCUAAUCGGAAUUACUGGGCGUAAAGCGUGCGUAGGUGGUGGUUUAAGUCCGUUGUGAAAGCCCUGGGCUCAACCUGGGAAUUGCAGUGGAUACUGGGUCACUAGAGUGUGGUAGAGGAUAGUGGAAUUUCCGGUGUAGCAGUGAAAUGCGUAGAGAUCGGAAGGAACAUCUGUGGCGAAGGCGACUAUCUGGGCCAACACUGACACUGAGGCACGAAAGCGUGGGGAGCAAACAGGAUUAGAGACCCCGGUAGUCCCUGUCUCUUAUAC